GAUGAACGCUGGCGGCGUGCCUAAUACAUGCAAGUCGAGCGAAUGGAUUAAGAGCUUGCUCUUAUGAAGUUAGCGGCGGACGGGUGAGUAACACGUGGGUAACCUGCCCAUAAGACCGGGAUAACUCCGGGAAACCGGGGCGAAUACCGGAUAACAUUUUGAACUGCAUGGUUCGAAAUUGAAAGGCGGCUUCGGCUGUCACUUAUGGAUGGACCCGCGUCGCAUUAGCUAGUUGGUGAGGUAACGGCUCACCAAGGCAACGAUGCAUAGCAGACCUGAGAGGGUGAUCGGCCGCACUGGGACUGAGACACGGCCCAGACUCCUACGGGAGGCAGCAGUAGGGAAUCUUCCGCAAUGGACGAAAGUCUGACGGAGCAACGCCGCGUGAGUGAUGAAGGCUUUCGGGUCGUAAAACUCUGUUGUUAGGGAAGAACAAGUGCUAGUUGAAUAAGCUGGCACCUUGACGGUACCUAACCAGAAAGCCACGGCUAACUACGUGCCAGCAGCCGCGGUAA
rnacentral:rRNA from 1 species